rnacentral:tRNA from 1 species
GAGGAUAUAGCUCAGUGGUAGAGCCCAUGCUUAGCAUGAACAAGGUCCUGGGUUCAAUUCCCCGUACCUCCA